AUGGAGCCGGGCCCCGACGCGCCUCGCGGCGAGGGAGCGAGCGCGCCGGAGGAGUCUGGACCGUCCUCAUCCUCGGUGGCCGUGGAGAAAGCUGAAGAGCCACAGGCACAAGCGCAGCCGCCGGAAGGAGGAGGCCAGCAAGCCGCAGUGCAGGAGCACCUGCAGCCGCAGCCGCUGUCGCAGCAGCCGCCUGUGCCGGCGGGGCUGAGCCGGUACGAGUCGCAGAAGCGCCGCGACUGGAACACCUUCCUGCAGUACCUGCGCAACCACAAGCCGCCGCUGACGCUGGCGCGGUGCAGCGGCGCGCACGUCAUCGAGUUCCUCAAGUACCUGGACCAGUUCGGCAAGACCAAGGUGCACGCCGACGGCUGCGCCUACUUCGGCCAGCCGAACCCGCCGGCCCCGUGCGCGUGCCCGCUCCGACAGGCAUGGGGCAGCCUCGACGCGCUCAUUGGCCGCCUGCGCGCCGCCUACGAGGAGUCAGGCGGCCGCCCCGAGUCCAACCCCUUCGCCGCGCGCGCCGUGCGCAUCUACCUGCGCGAGGUGCGCGAGGCGCAGGCCAAGGCUCGCGGGAUCCCCUACGAGAAGAAGAAGCGCAAGCGCGGCAGCACGUCCGCCCCCUCGGCGCCGCCUCCCGUUGUCACCGCCGCGGAAGCGGCAGCGACCUCCGGAGGCGGCGAGGACAACGACGACGAGCCGUCACAGUCCGCUGAGCAACAGCACACAACGCCAGCGUCUCCUCCGACUAGAAGUAGUAGCGCCGGCGCUACUAGUACCACCGCAGCGGCGGCAGCAACGACGACGACGACAACGAGAGGGAAGGAGAAGGAAGCGGCAGAAGGAUCAGCGUGA
rnacentral:rRNA from 1 species